rnacentral:rRNA from 1 species
UACGGGGGGAGCAAGCGUUGUUCGGAUUUACUGGGCGUAAAGGGCGCGUAGGCGGCCAGCGCAAGUCAGUUGUGAAAUCUCCGGGCUUAACUCGGAACGGUCAACUGAUACUGCGGGGCUAGAGUGCGGAAGGGGCAACUGGAAUUCUCGGUGUAGCGGUGAAAUGCGUAGAUAUCGAGAGGAACACCUGCGGCGAAGGCGGGUUGCUGGGCCGACACUGACGCUGAUGCGCGAAAGCCAGGGGAGCGAACGGG